rnacentral:rRNA from 1 species
UGCCAGCCGCCGCGGUAAUACGUAGGGUGCGAGCGUUAAUCGGAAUUACUGGGCGUAAAGCGUGCGCAGGCGGUUUCACAAGCUAGAUGUGAAAGCCCCGGGCUUAACCUGGGAACUGCAUUUAGGACUGUGGAGCUAGAGUGCGGCAGAGGGAGGUGGAAUUCCACGUGUAGCAGUGAAAUGCGUAGAGAUGUGGAGGAACACCGAUGGCGAAGGCAGCCUCCUGGGCCGACACUGACGCUCAUGCACGAAAGCGUGGGGAGCAAACAGGAUUAGAUACCCUGGUAGUCCACG